CUGGGAUGAUGUAGCUGGGGCUGGUCCUGCUUGGAGCAGGGGGUUAGACCAGAUGUCACCUCCCGAGCUCCCUUCAACCCUCCUUUUCUAUGAUUUCUAUUGGGAAAUGCAA